ensembl:lncRNA
CUGCCAUCCCCCCGCCACGAGCGCUUAGCACGCAACGCUGGUGUCUGUGACAUCACGACAUCGUGGUAGAUCUCUGGCUUUGAUGGUCUGGCCGGGGAGGGUAAUAACCUGUACCCCCUCUGUUAGAGAUCAAAGGAGGUGGUGGUCUGGCCCGGGAGGGUAAUAAUCUGUACCCCCUCUGUUAGAGAUCAAAGGAGGUGGUGGUCUGGCCCGGGAGGGUAAUAACCUGUACCCCCUCUGUUAGAGAUCAAAGGAGGUGGUGGUCUGGCCCGGGAGGGUAAUAAUCUGUACCCCCUCUGUUAGAGAUCAAAGGAGGUGGUGGUCUGGGAGGGUAUUAACCUGUACCCCCUCUGUUAGAGAUCAAAGGAGGUGGUGGUCUGGGAGGGUAAUAACCUGUACCCCCUCUGUUAGAGAUCAAAGGAGGUGGUGGUCUGGGAGGGUAUUAACCUGUACCUCCUCCGUUAGAGAUCAAAGGGGCCGGUAGUGGCAGUUAGCUGAUCUCUGGAACACACACACACAAUGUCUGCAAUUAGCAGCAACACUCCUCUGUGUCAGAAGCAGGUCUGGUGUAUCUGGGGGAAGCAGGAAGCAGCAGAAGGUGAAUAAUUGUGUACAUGGAUAAUGUCUCUCCUGAUGAGAGGAUGAUUUCUGCACCUGCAUCAUUUACAUACACACCUCCAACUCUCUCCCCAC